rnacentral:rRNA from 1 species
GAUGAACGCUAGCGACAGGCUUAACACAUGCAAGUCGAGGGGCAGCGGGGGUGCAGGCUUGCCUGCACCUGCCGGCGACCGGCGCACGGGUGAGUAACACGUAUGGAACCUGCCCGCCACAGGGGGAUAACCCGGGGAAACCCGGCCUAAUACCCCAUGCCGCCCGGACCGGGCAUCCGGUCCGGGCGAAAGGAGUAAUCCGGUGGCGGCUGGGCAUGCGGCGCAUUAGCUUGACGGCGGGGUAACGGCCCACCGUGGCGACGAUGCGUAGGGGUUCUGAGAGGAAGGCCCCCCACACUGGAACUGAGACACGGUCCAGACUCCUACGGGAGGCAGCAGUGAGGAAUAUUGGUCAAUGGGCGGAAGCCUGAACCAGCCAAGUCGCGUGAGGGAAUAAGGCCCUACGGGUCGUAAACCUCUUUUGCCGGGGAGCAAGGGCCGGGACGAGUCCCGGUCCGGAGAGUACCCGGAGAAAAAGCAUCGGCUAACUCCGUGCCAGCAGCCGCGGUAAUACGGAGGAUGCGAGCGUUAUCCGGAUUUAUUGGGUUUAAAGGGUGCGUAGGCGGGCUUUUAAGUCAGCGGUAAAAAUUCGGGGCUCAACCCCGUCCGGCCGUUGAAACUGGGGGCCUUGAGUGGGCGAGAAGAAGGCGGAAUGCGUGGUGUAGCGGUGAAAUGCAUAGAUAUCACGCAGAACCCCGAUUGCGAAGGCAGCCUUCCGGCGCCCUACUGACGCUGAGGCACGAAAGUGCGGGGAUCGAACAGGAUUAGAUACCCUGGUAGUCCGCACAGUAAACGAUGGAUGCCAGCUGUCCGGGCCGAAUGGGGCCUGGGUGGCAAAGCGAAAGCGUUAAGCAUCCCACCUGGGGAGUACGCCGGCAACGGUGAAACUCAAAGGAAUUGACGGGGGCCCGCACAAGCGGAGGAACAUGUGGUUUAAUUCGAUGAUACGCGAGGAACCUUACCCGGGCUCAAACGCGUCAGGGAUCCCCUCUGAAAGGAGGGGAGUCAGCAAUGACCUGGCGCGAGGUGCUGCAUGGUUGUCGUCAGCUCGUGCCGUGAGGUGUCGGCUUAAGUGCCAUAACGAGCGCAACCCCUACCGACAGUUGCUAACUGGUGAAGCAGAGGACUCUGUCGGGACUGCCGGCGCAAGCUGCGAGGAAGGCGGGGAUGACGUCAAAUCAGCACGGCCCUUACGUCCGGGGCGACACACGUGUUACAAUGGCAGGUACAGCGGGAAGCCACCGGGCGACCGGGCGCGGAACCCGAAAACCUGUCUCAGUUCGGAUCGGAGUCUGCAACCCGACUCCGUGAAGCUGGAUUCGCUAGUAAUCGCGCAUCAGCCACGGCGCGGUGAAUACGUUCCCGGGCCUUGUACACACCGCCCGUCAAGCCAUGGGAGCCGGGGGUGCCUGAAGUCCGUGACCGCAAGGGGCGGCCUAGGGUAAAACCGGUGACUGGGGCUAAGUCGUAACAAGGUAGCCGUACCGGAAGGUGCGGCUGGAACACCUCCUUUCUGGAGCGCGCCCCUUCGGGGGCGGUGCAGGGACUGCGGCCGUGUCACGGCCCGGCCCGGCGGCCUUGUAGGUAUUUUUAUAAACGGUUUGGAAUACGGCCUUGUACCGUCCGUCGGAAGUUAUUGCCAAAAUAUAAAGCAUCAGGCCCUCUGGCAAAGGAGGAGAACGGAAUGCAGUCCCUUAGCUCAGUUGGUUAGAGCGCUACACUGAUAAUGUAGAGGUCGGCAGUUCAACUCUGCCAGGGACUACACUGGAAAGGAGCACAUUGACAUGAUGGAAGCGAUGCCGCCUAUAGGAAUAUAGGUGGCAGCGAGCAAAACUCAAGAGCAACACAGAACAAAAAGAGCGAUUUCACACCCGCCGCGCCCAUGCGGGCAAAUGGCGGGCAGCUGAAGGAAGCGCGGGCGACCGCGGUAUCCUGCGAGUGGGAUCCGGCGAAAUAGAAGUACAAGGAAAGGAGAGAAGGGCGCAUGAAGGAUGCCUAGGCUCUCGGAGGCGACGAAGGACGUGACAAGCUGCGAUAAGCCGCGCGUAGGGGCAAAUACCCGUUGAUGCGCGGAUUUCCGAAUGGGGCAACCCGCCGGGCGCGAGCCCGGCACCUGGCCGAGCCAGGGGCGAACCCGGGGAACUGAAACAUCUAAGUACCCGGAGGAAGAGAAAACAAACCAGUGAUUGCGCAAGUAGCGGCGAGCGAACGCGCAGGAGCCCAAACCGGGGGCGUCGCAAGGCGCCGUCCGGGGUUGUAGGACCGACGACAAAGCGUAGCGUGAAGGUUAGCCGAACCGUCUGGAAAGGCGGGCCGUAGCGGGUGAAAGCCCCAUAGGCGAAAACCGGGCAGCGCGCGAGUCGGCACCUGAGUAAGCCGGGACACGAGGAAUCCUGGCCGAAUCCGCGGGGACCAUCCCGUAAGGCUAAACACUACCGAGAGACCGAUAGCGAACC